rnacentral:rRNA from 1 species
UACGGGGGGGGCAAGCGUUGUUCGGAAUUACUGGGCGUAAAGGGCUCGUAGGCGGCCAACUAAGUCAGACGUGAAAUCCCCAGGCUCAACCUGGGAACUGCGUCUGAUACUGGAUGGCUUGAAUCCGGGAGAGGGAUGCAGAAUUCCAGGUGUAGCGGUGAAAUGCGUAGAUAUCGUCAAGAACACCUAUUGCGAAGGCAGCUCACUAAGCUUUAACUGACACUGAUGCACGAAAGUGUGGGGAUCAAACAGG